GUGGGGAAUCUUAGACAAUGGGCGCAAGCCUGAUCUAGCCAUGCCGCGUGAGCGAUGAAGGCCUUAGGGUUGUAAAGCUCUUUCAGUGGGGAAGAUAAUGACAGUACCCACAGAAGAAGCCCCGGCUAACUCCGUGCCAGCAGCCGCGGUAAUACGGAGGGGGCUAGCGUUGUUCGGAAUUACUGGGCGUAACGCGCACGUAGGCGGACUGGAAAGUCAGGGGUGAAAUCCCGGGGCUCAACCCCGGAACUGCCUUUGAAACUCCCAGUCUUGAGGUCGAGAGAGGUGAGUGGAAUUCCGAGUGUAGAGGUGAAAUUCGUAGAUAUUCGGAGGAACACCAGUGGCGAAGGCGGCUCACUGGCUCGAUACUGACGCUGAGGUGCGAAAGCGUGGGGAGCAAACAGGAUUAGAAACCCGGGUAGUCC
rnacentral:rRNA from 1 species